rnacentral:rRNA from 1 species
UACGUAGGGUGCGAGCGUUGUCCGGAAUUAUUGGGCGUAAAGAGCUCGUAGGCGGUUCGGUAAGUCAGCUGUGAAAUCUCCACGCUCAACGUGGAGGGGUCAGCUGAUACUGCCGUGACUUGAGUCUGGUAGGGGAGUGCGGAAUUCCCGGUGUAGCGGUGAAAUGCGCAGAUAUCAAGAGGAACACCUGCGGCGAAGGCGGGUUGCUGGGCCGACACUGACGCUGAGGCGCGAAAGCUAGGGGAGCGAACGGG